AAUAUGCGUUUAUACAAACAUUUAAGCAACACAUUCAUAAUCAUGAUGAUUAUUUUUGCCAGUGCAAUGCGUGCGCUAGUUUUAUUCAUCCAUUUACGUUGAUGAUCAUGUUAAUGGAUGGCCGCAAACUUCACAGUUCAUCGGGCACAGUUAACAACCUUUCUGCAUAUUGCAGCACAUUAACAAAUUGACUCAGAAUCGCUUAGCUAUCAUAACCAUAUUGUGUUUCAUUUAUAGCUUUAAUUUCAGAUCAUUUCAACCAAUUAUUGCAGUGAAAAAAAAAAACUGAUGCAUCAACACAUCAAAGCACUCUCUUGCUGACAUCAGGGCUUUCCUGUUGCAGUCGGGUGUGCACGUCUCCAACACCACUAUAAGACGACACUAUAGACAUCAAAGCCCUGUAGGCCUUCCUAGAAAAACAACUGCAAGGCAAGGAAAAUGAACAGUGCUGCACUUAAAACGAUUGACGAAAAACUGCACAAGGACAAUGAGCGAUCUGCUAAAAAGAUUCAGAGUGAGCUUCUGUUUAGAAUACAGUUAAAAGCAUCAGUCUGCACUAUUAGAAAACCAGUAAAACAACUCAGGUGGACCUAUGGAAAAGCCAGGAAUUAUGGACAGCUGUUUUUACAAAGACACUAUAGUAAAAUUUAAUCAGGUUCCAUAUGUAAAACAACACUUUAAAGAACCACAUCGCUUCUUCCAAGGUAGAUACAGUAUGUAGGCCU